rnacentral:rRNA from 1 species
GAUGAACGCUGGCGGCGUGCUUAACACAUGCAAGUCGAACGGAAAGGCCAGUGCUUGCACUGGUACUCGAGUGGCGAACGGGUGAGUAACACGUGGGUGAUCUGCCCUGCACUUCGGGAUAAGCCUGGGAAACUGGGUCUAAUACCGGAUAGGACAAUGGUUUGGAUGCCGUUGUGGAAAGUUUUUUCGGUGUGGGAUGAGCUCGCGGCCUAUCAGCUUGUUGGUGGGGUAAUGGCCUACCAAGGCGUCGACGGGUAGCCGGCCUGAGAGGGUGUACGGCCACAUUGGGACAGAGAUACGGCCCAGACUCCUACGGGAGGCAGCAGUGGGGAAUAUUGCACAAUGGGCGCAAGCCUGAUGCAGCGACGCCGCGUGGGGGAUGACGGCCUUCGGGUUGUAAACUCCUUUCGCUAGGGACGAAGCGUAUUUGUGACGGUACCUGGAGAAGAAGCACCGGCUAACUACGUG